GCCUCGUUAGCUCAAUGGUAGAGUACUACUGUGGUAUUGUAGUGGUUGUGGGUUCAAUUCCCUCACGAGGCU
rnacentral:tRNA from 1 species